UCACCUUUUCCUCUCCAUUUUCCUUAGUCACCAUUUCCUACACCAAUUCCUUCAUCCAUUCCAUCUCUUUGUCUCACCAUUUCCUUUCCAUUUUCCUUUCCACCCUAUAGAGCAAGCCACGAGUUCAUGCAAGGCCAAGGGAGAAGAAGAAUUGCCGUGAGCAUCAUCAUCCACCACCAUUCUUGAAGCUUGCUUUCGAGAUUCAAGAGACCACAUCCUCAAUUCGUUCAUCUCACCUUCAUCCACGGUGUAAUCCGAUUCUCCUUUGUAACCUUUGCUUUGAUUUCGUUGGUUUAAUUCUAGUUAACAAAUAAUAUUAAGGGCAAAGUUUAAAGCCCGUUUAUAUGUUUUGAGAUAAAGUUGUGAUUUCUAUAUGUUGAUUUUUAUGUUGCUUAUGUGGGGUUUUGAUAUAAUUGGUGCUAGGCUUAAGAACAUGAAAUCGACUUUUCGUUUUGUGUAAACUUGAAUCAAAGUAGUAAAGGUUUUGUGCAAAGACCGAAUUUAAUUAAAGAGGAUUGCAAUUAGGUGGACUUUUCCAUACUAAGUUGUACACUUGAGUUGAUAGCCUUUCUCUAUGUCUAAUGCGUUGAACAUGUCAUGAUUGACUAGCUUUCUAGGGCUUGAUUGCAUGUUUGAUAGGAUUAAUCUAGGUGCUUUCGCUUAGGUUAAUUAGCAUUGAAAAGUAAAAUAUGGGAAAUCAUUUGCUUUCGAAUGUUUCACAUGAUCAACUCCUCUCUCAUGACAUUUAAAAUCAACUAUAGGAAUUGUAAUUGGAUUUCUUACAUAUGGAUGUGAUUUUGAUCUUUGUUCCUUGCGUUCCACCCUUGUAUAUAUGUUUU
rnacentral:lncRNA from 1 species